rnacentral:rRNA from 1 species
AUUGAACGCUGGCGGCAGGCCUAACACAUGCAAGUCGAACGAGUGGCGGACGGGUGAGUAAUGUCUGGGAAACUGCCUGAUGGAGGGGGAUAACUACUGGAAACGGUAGCUAAUACCGCAUACCAUCUGAUGUGCCCAGAUGGGAUUUGCUAGUAGGUGGGGUAACGGCUGACCUAGGCGACGGUCCCUAGCUGGUCUGAGAGGAUGACCAGCAACACUGAGACUGAGACCCGGUCCAGACUCCUAAGGGAGGAAGCAGUGGAGAAUAUUGCAAAAUGAACCAAAGCCUGAUGCAGCCAUGCCGCGUGUAUGAAGAAGGGCUUCGGGUUGGAAAGUACUUUCAGCGGGGAGGCGUUACCCGCAGAGGAAGCACAGGCUAACUCCGUGCCAGCAGCCGCGGUAAUAC